rnacentral:rRNA from 1 species
AGUGAACGCUGGCGGUAUGCCUAACACAUGCAAGUCGAACGGCAGCACAGUAAGAGCUUGCUCUCACGGGUGGCGAGUGGCGGACGAGUGCGGAAUACAUCGGAAUCUACUUUUUCGUGGGGGAUAACGUCUUGAAACUUACGCUAAUACCGCAUACGACCUACGGGUGAAAGCAGGGGAUCUUCUGACCUUUCGCGAUUGAAUUAGCCGAUCUCGGAUUCGCUAGUUGGCGGGGUAAAGGCCCACCAAGGCGACGAUCCGUAUCUGGUCUGAGAGGGUGAUCAGCCACACUGGAACAGAGAAACGGUACCGACUCCUACGGGAGGACGCAGUGCGGACUCUUGGACGAGGGGGGCAUGCCGGAUCCAGCACUACCGCGUGGAGGAAGAAGGACUUCGGGUUCUAAAGCCCUUUUGUUGGGAAAGAAAAACAGCAGGUUAAUCCCCCACUGUUAUGACGGUACCCAAAGAAUAAGCACCGGCUAACUUCGUG